AGCCGCCCGCCGCCGCUGCACCCAGCUCCCGGCCCCGCGAGGCGCGCGCAGCUGCGCCGGGGCCUGUCCUCGCCUCACCCCCACUCUGCCCCUUCGGUAUUUCUCAAUGACCGCCGCUGCGAGGACACUUCCGACGCGGGAGGGAGGGGUGUCAUUAGCGCUUGGUUUAUCAGUUCCUUCCGGUCUGCCCCGACCCAGCCCUGCGCCCUGCCUGGCCGCGCCUCGGGCGCUCUGCUGCCUUUAUUGUUAGGUUUAAAUAGGCAGUCGUGUGUGCCAGUGUGUGCCAAGUGAGUUUGUAGCCCAGCUGUCUCCCCCAAGACGGUUUCCCGCUGGCAGCAAUGGAAACCCAAGCUACUCUGGUCAUUUUCCCUUUCGGCUGCAAUGCCGGGAUUUAAAAUAGCUGAGAUGAAAGGCCCCAGCCCCCGCCUCCCUCCUCCCCUGAGUUCAUGUAUUAUGAAUGAAACGCCAGCCCUGCCGUGUCCUGAGGUCUUCGCUUCAGGCCUGGAACUUGUUGCCUGGAACCUUCUGCCUCAGACUCCGGUAGCUGGGAUUACAGGUGUGCAAGACCACACAAAGCCUGACCAAAUCUUGAAGGAUGGCAUUAUGGCUGGAUUGCCCAUGGAUAACUGGAAGAGGGGUCUCCAGGACAAAAAGCCCAGUGAACACAAAGGCCCUGAGAUGUGAGCUGGUAUUAGGAACUAGAGGAAAGAGGUAACAGAAAGGGGAGAAGGCGAAGAGCUGGGUCUGGAAGGCCAGACAGCCCACACUAAAGGAGGUUAGGUUUUUUUUUGAAGUCGUGAACCUUUUGUAGUAGGUUCACAGCUGAUCUUUAUUCAGUCACAGAUCAUUGCUGUGGCCUCUAUAGUUAUGCAAAUGUAGGGCAAGUGGGCAUCCAUUGUUCCGGGAUUAGGGAAUCAAAUCAAAUUCAAAAACUGACAGCUCAUAAACCAGAUAAGGCCCUAGACAAGUUUGGUUUUGCCUGCUUUUUUAAAAAUAAAGCUGACAGUUUAAAACUAGAAUAUUUCAUAUAAAACUCAAGAUUUGUGGUUCCUCCUGAUGGGGGGGGAAAUGAAAGAUCCUGGCAACUGUGAGUGCCAAAUUCCUGCUUGGUAGUAACCGAUUGUUGCUAAGUAGCUGCUGCUCCAGCUUCAGGCUCCUAGAGGCAUUUGAGUUUUUGACCCCUGGCAUGAAAGACAGUUUUGUAACUGGAUCAAGCCUCACUCUGAGACCCCAGGUAGGUAGAGCUUGUCACUGGGUUAAACAAUUUGCAUGAGGAGCCCUGGGCCUCUUGGGAGGAAAGACAUCAAUUUCAAUCUCCUUCCUCAAAAUACUGUAUUAAGUGGCCAAACCAGGCAGGGUGCCUUAGAAUGGGCCUAACCACAGCCCAGUGACAGGCAACAGUGAAGUUCCUAAAUAACAACUAAUGCGUAUCCCAGCUCAGGCUGUUUCUAGGGAAACCCACCUAAAAUAGUAGACUAUCUGUCACAUGGGGAGCUGGGCAUUCAAGUGAUCAGCUGGAAAAAUCCCCAAACGGGAUCAGGCUUGUAUCCCAAAUUUGUAGAACAUUGCAAGUCACACAGCCAAACUUUUUAUGUAGGAAAUGCUAGACUCAGAUGUUACACUUUUAAUAAAUUUAUUACUUCAGGUAUGGUUUUUUGGGAGCCAAGCGAAAGAUUACUUAGGAAGAAAUUUUCUUCUUCCAUGACAGGAAUAACAGUAUAUGACAAAGCACAGUGGCAGUGGCCAUGGAGAGAGAUAACCAAUUCCAAAGACACAAAUGGGGUAGAAAUGACUUGGCCUUUUGAUCUGUUAGAUAUUAAGACUAAUGAAGAGGUCUGGGAUAAUUUCCAAGUUUCUGACUUAGAAAAUUUGGUGCCUCCUGGUGCCUUUAACAUGAUUAGGGCAAUUGGUGAGGAGGAGGGCUACUACUCAAAUCUGAGAUCCAGAAAAUAGGUCAGGGAUUGAGGGAUACAGAUGGGCCAAGACCAAAGAAAACAGAACUCAGAUAUGGAGAUGGGGAGACCAUCCCCUGGGGCUAUGAUUAUAGCAGCUGGAUUCAAUUGGGUUGGAAGUUUAGGGAUGAUCUGGACUUUUAAAAUGCAAAAUAUAAGCCAGAUGCUGUGGCCCAUGCUUAUAAUCCUAGCUAUUCUAGACUGGAGCAUAUCAAAUCUAAGGUUUGCCUCAGCAACUUGGUGAGACUCUAUCUCAAAAAAUAAGGAUAGGUGUGGUAGUGCACACUGGUAAUCCCAGUAAUUCUGGAGGCUGAGGCAGGAGGAUUGCAGGUUCAAAGCCAGCCUCAGCAACUUAAUGAGGCCCUAAGCAACUUAGUCUCAAAAUAGAAAAGGCUAGGGAUGUGGCUCAGGGAUUAAGCAACCAUGAGUUCAAUCUCUGGUACGAAAUUAAGGGAAAAAAAAAAUAAAAAAGGACUGGGGAGGAUGUAGCUCAGCGGUAGAAUACCCCUAGAUUCAAUCCUCAGUACCAAAAAAAGAUGCAAAAUCUAAUACAUCCAUUUUCUUGGGGGCGGGGGGCAGGGUGGUGCGUGUACUAGGGAUUGAACCCAUCCCCAGCCCUUAUUUUUAGAUUUUGUUUUGAGACAGGGUCUCGAUAAGUCCCUUAGGGCCUUGAUUUGAAGUUGCUGAGGCUGGCUUUGAACUCCUGCCACAGCCUCCCAGGCCACUGGGAUUACAGGUGUGAGCCAUCACUCCUGGCUACAUUCAUUUUUUUCUUUUUUUUUUUCCUUGAGCUAGGUUGACUCAGGCUUCUGUCACUUAUAGACAAAAAAAUUUUUACCUACCAAAAUAGAAAAACAUACCUUGAAUAGCAAGAAAGAUUGAGGAAACUAAAGAAUCUAAUAGAAAGGGAAUUUUAGAAUGUGGGUUUGCAAUUUAACACAGGGCCAUCUGGGGUCAGUGCCAGGGAGUUUCACAAAGAUUCUGAUUUAAUAGAACAAUUUUUUUCUUUGGAGUUAAUCAACAAUUUAUGGGUUGCAAUGGUUUAUCAUUUUAGUUAGAGUAUCCUGCCAUCUUCAUUUUAAGUCACAUCUCCAACUCUGUUACUUUUUUGUUUUUUUAGACAUGGCCUCACUGUGUCACCCAGGCUGGCCUUGAGCUUGUGAUCCGAUCCUUCCUGCCUCAGCCGCCUGAGUAUUCCUUUCACUGUUUAUAUCAUGUCUGGUUUUUACCUUUACUCUCUAUCUCCUUUAUUCCAUAAAAGCAACAGCUGAGCUUAAUAAUAUAAGAGAAUCAGAGCUUUUAGGAUUGGAAGAAGUGAUAGACCAUAUGUUUGUGGCAACUGUGGGUGCAGUAAACCAAAUAUCUUUUUUUUUUUUGGUGGGGUGGUGAUACUGGGAAUUGAACCCUGACCUCAUACAACUGAGCUAUUUUCCCAGCCCAAACCAAAUGUCUUUUUUGGAAUGGAUAAAGAUUAAAAAAGGAAAAUAAAAUAUGUUCCUUGUAUCAGUUCAAUUUUGCUAUAGCAAACCAUUUCAAUAAAUAUUAUGGCUUAAAAUGACAAACAUUUGCCAGGGGUAUUGGCACUAGUCUAUAAUCCCAGCUACUCAGAGAUUAAGACAGGAGAAUCCCAAAAGGCCAGCUUGGGCAAGCAACCCUGUCUCAAAAUAAAUAAGAAGGACUAAGUGGAAGGGUGCUUGUCUAACAGGCAUGAGGCCAGGGGUUCAAUCCCCAGUACCAAAACAAAACAAAAACAAAAAAAAAGAGGACAAAUAUUUUACUCUUUCUUAUGAGUCUUUGGUGUGUCAGUUUGUUGUGAUUUUGUGGCCUGGACAGGUUCAGCUGGGACCAAAUGGGGAUGGCCUCAUUGGCAGAUGUGAUGAUUGUCAAGCUGAUUGAUCUAGUAUGGCUUGAGCUGGGCUAGUUCAUCUCUGCUCCACAUGAUCUGUUGUUAUCUUCUAGCAAGCCAACUCAAGUGGAAUCACAUGGUGGUAUGGAAGGGUUACCAGGUUAUCAAGAAGUCAAACCCCCAAUAUGUAUGCUUUUUUUUUUUAAGUCUCUGCUUGCAUCUAUUUGUUAAUAUCCCAUUAGCCAAAGAAGUUAUUAUCCUUGGAGUGUCCAGUUUGGCUCCAGGUUCAUUCUGUCCUCCAACAAAGAAUUGAGCAUGACACACACAAGUAACAGGCAAAGUACAGAUUUAUUGAAGGUGAGGAUAGCAUUCUGUUAGGUAGAGUGGAAUGAGCCAAGCAAGAGAAAGGCUCAAGACCCUAGUGUCUGGAAAUCAGUGUCUUAUACACUAAGCUGUAAGGCAUUCUCUUCCCUAUACUGACCAAAUUGAAGACCUUACCCCUUGCUCCCAUUGGUUACCUUAUAAUACCUGAUUUGAAUAUGUCUAAUCCUCACCCCCAUCAGUUACUUUAGGAAACCUAGAACACUGCCCACUUUAGCCCCAUCAGUCAUUUUAUUUUAUUUAUUUUUUUUAAAAUAUUUAUUUAUUUAUUUUAGU